rnacentral:misc_RNA from 1 species
GAUGAAGAACGUAGCGGAAUGCGAUAAGUAAUGUGAAUUGCAGAAUUCAGUGAAUCAUCGAAUCUUUGAACGCACCUUGCGCUCCUUGGUAUUCCGAGGAGCAUGCCUGUUUGAGUGUCAUGAAAUUCUCAACCUUUUCAGCUUUCUUUGUUGAUCAGGCUUGGAUGUGGGAGUAUGCGGGCUUCUCAGAAGUCGGCUCUCCUGAAAUGCAUUAGCGGGACCUUUGUUGCCUGGCUUUGGUGUGAUAAUUAUCUACGCCAUUGUAGUCAAGCAGCUUAAAAUGAGGUUUCAGCUUCUAACCGUCUCCCCUGAGACAACUUUUUGACAAUUUGACCUCAAAUCAGGUAGGACUACCCGCUGAACUUAAGCAUAUCAAUAAGCGGAGGA